CCCGCCUCGGCCUCCCAAAGUGCUGGGAUUACAGGCAUGAGCCACCGCGCCUGGCCCAAACUUAGAAGUUAUUGAGGGUUGCCAUCAAUAUGGCGGAAAUUGUAAGGCACGUUUACAACACGAAGCGAAGAGAAGGGAUUCGCUAAUGGGCUUCACUGCUUGAAGGAAAUGCCUGGCUGAGGCAUAAGUUGAAGGUCCUCGGGAAGAACUCCAUGUUAUCUGGAAACGACUCCUGAGCUUGGACAGAUUUGUCCCAGGGAAAGAAGAGCCUUGAUCGUACCUUUGGCAAAAGCUCAAAGUGCAAGAGAUCAUCCCGGGUAGAGAAGCCAGGUGUGGCACUCAUUCUUGACCUACACCUGGCAGGGAUGGAACCAGUAUUGCAGGAGGUGCUGGUCCAGCUGACUUCUCACUCUACAGCAAACCCAGGAGUGUAACCUGCAGCAGAAGGCAGUGCCCCCACUUGCUGUUUUCUACUGCUUACUGAAAAGCAGAUCUCAAUUUCAGCAAAGCACUACCAGAUUUUUCAUCCUUCUUUUUCCUGGAUCUGAGAGAUGUAAAAGUAUUAUAGUUAGAGUGAUUCAGACGGAACCCAUUUUAAACACACUCUGUAAGGUUUUUCGUGGGAGAUGCGCCAUUAUGUUUGAAAAUACAAGAGGUGUUUAUGGAGAAAGAUGGAAGCUGCUUAUGAGACACAAGACAGGCCCUGUGGAAGUUUAGUCAUGAAGAAGAUAAAGAAGAUUUUCUGGAGGGAUCCUCUAGAAACAAACAACAAAACCCACAAAUUAUAAUGCAUCUGCACUUAGACUGCUAGGAACUUUGACUCGAUGGAGUGAAAGCUUAAGGCUUUGUUCUUUACCUGUGCUGCUUUCAAAAAAUGUGGACAGUGGGUCCAUUUUUGCAAGCAGAAGUUGUUUAACCAUGAGAUGAAUGUCCCAUGAUUUCAAAUGAUAUAUAAUAAACACUUUUCUUUUGUGUUUCCAAUCUA